rnacentral:pre_miRNA from 1 species
UGUAAACAUCCUCGACUGGAAGCCCGUGCUUUGACAAGUGCUUUUAGUCGGAUGUUUGCGUC